rnacentral:tRNA from 1 species
GGGCGAUUAACUCAGCUGGUAGAGUGCCAUCUCGACAAGGUGGAAGUCGUUGGUUCGAGUCCAAUAUUGCCCACCA